rnacentral:lncRNA from 1 species
CAACGAAGUUUGGUUGUCAUCAUCUUUUAACUACCACAAUCAUUCAUGGGACAAGUCACAAACAUAAGUAAGUUGUAUAGUCUAAGCACCAUGAUACACUAGAGAUUACUACUACAAUCUAGGCCCUAGCAGACUAAUACAAGUUAUGAACCAGUAAAUAAAAGAUGAUAAUAUUUACUCAACUCUUUCCAAAUGCCAUAAAAGAAUCCUAAAUGGUCACUCAAAUAGAGAUAAUGUCCAUGAACGAUCACUCAAAUAGAGAUAAUGAUAGGUAUAAGUGGAGAGACUGCCAACAGACCUGGCAUGUCCUUUGCUUUCCUUCAGUCCUUAUUCUCUAAGCAUUUCUACACAAGUAGGGCUUUGCCUAAAUACUGAAGUGUGGACUUCCUAAUGAUAUGAUUACAACUGAGAGAUGUCUCUCUAUCUAUAGUGUUGAAGAGGUGAGGAGGUGGACCCCUCAAUCCAUGGGAGAUUCCAUAGAUGACGCUCGAAUCAUACCAACUGAAUCUAGCGUCCAUCAAUGAUCACAAGUGUCAUUUCUUGCAUGUUGUAAAAAAUGAGGUGAUUUGAAGUUGGUGGGACUUUGGACCACCAAGCGGUGGGGUUAGUUGACCCCACACUGACCCCAAUUACACAUAUCUUACAUAGUGAUGAGUCUACUACUUAGGGAUGUGGCUAUGGGUUGCUUUGGUGUAUAUGUUCAAUGGUGGUUAUGUGCUGGGUCCUUCAAUCCUUAUCAUGUACAUCCUAAGUCAAUGAUCUCCAACAAUGUAAAACAAACUAUGUAUGAUGAUGAGAAGUAUGAAUCCUCAAUGUGGGCCAAAGUUGGAGAGGAUUGACCACAACCCAAAGUCAAGUGACCCCCUCUUAAGCUCAAUUUAGCCCAUUUUUAGGUGGGUCCCUAAACAACAAUAUUCUGCAAAAUAUACAUGUAUACCUUAUUUUAUGAAAUAUACGCUUGCAUCUUUCUCAAA